rnacentral:lncRNA from 1 species
GUCCCUUCCAUUGUGGGGGUCCAGAAGCUGAAGAAGAUGCCAGCUGGCCCACCGUGUCACUCUACCUGGAUACGAAGCCCCAGCAGAGGAAGCGGUUGAGGGACACAUUAGGCAGCAGAUGUUUAAGGCUCCAAAACUUACGCCAGUAGUACUUACAAGGACUUGUAGAAGGGUUGCUAUCCAUGGAGGAGACUUCAGAGAAAGUUUGUGGAGAAGCAGGGGUACUGGGAUCCAAGUGGAAGAGUGCACGUGGACAAGGACCAGAGAUACGGUGUUUAAGGUCACAAUUUCAGGGUUCCAAAUUCCAUCCAGACACAGUACUCACCACACAUGAAGGCCAGUAUGUUCUACUGUGUUCUUGGGCAAAGAGGGUUUCCCAUCACUGUAGCAGAGAGGUCUUCAUAAGUUCACGACAUCUACAUGGCAUCAAAGAGGCAGAGAAGAAGCGAGGAAGAGGUGGCAUCCUUCUCCGGUUAGAUGAAGUUCGUCUGAGGGCAGUGAAUACAGCACGGCAGCAGAUCCAGGGGAUGGAAGGCCCUUGGCCAAGAGCUUCCUUUUUCCUUUCGGAGCAAGGAUAAUCUAUAGCCGGUGAUAUGAGAUGCGAUUUUCCUGCAAGGCAAGGUAUUGCUUGCAUUGACCAGGAGUUUUUUGAUUGCUCUAAGUAAAAGGUGAAUUUUUAGGUUAUGAAAAAGAAAAAGAAACCAAAUACAGAAAGAAAAAAGGUCAGAACACCAUGAAAAAAGUUGAUCAUUGUUUUCCCCUUUGUGCUAUUUUUGAACUUAGGUCGUACGAUUUUUAUAAAGUUUCUUAAAAAUCCUUUCAGUCACU